AACCUGCGGAAGGAUCAUUAUUGAAUGAACUUGGCGUGGUUGUUGCUGGUCCUCUUGGGGGCAUGUGCACACCCGUCAUCUUUAUCUUUCCACCUGUGCACAUUUUGUAGGUCUAAAAUUUUUCCGAGGCAACUCGUUUAGAGGGAUUGCUGUGCAUCACUGUCGGCUUCCCUUGGAUUUUCAGGCCUAUGUUUUCACAUACACCAUAAAAUGUAAUAGAAUGUCAUAUUGGGCUUUGUUGCCUAUAAACUAUAUACAACUUUCAGCAACGGAUCUCUUGGCUCUCGCAUCGAUGAAGAACGCAGCGAAAUGCGAUAAGUAAUGUGAAUUGCAGAAUUCAGUGAAUCAUCGAAUCUUUGAACGCACCUUGCGCUCCUUGGUAUUCCGAGGAGCAUGCCUGUUUGAGUGUCAUUAAAUUCUCAACCUUAUUAGCUUUUGUUAAUAAUGGCUUGGAUGUGGGGGUUUAUUUGCUGGCUUCUUAAUGAGAUCAGCUCCCCUUAAAUGCAUUAGCUGGUUGCCUUGUGCAGACUUGUCUAUUGGUGUGAUAAUUAUCUACGCCGUGGACUUUCUGCCAGUAUUUAGCACCGCUUCUAACUGUCUGUUUACUCGGACAAUAUAUGACAAUUUGACCUCAAAUCAGGUAGGACUACCCGCUGAACUUAAGCAUAUCAAUAAGCGGAGGAAAAGAAACUAACAAGGAUUCCCCUAGUAACUGCGAGUGAAGCGGGAAAAGCUCAAAUUUAAAAUCUGGCGACCUUUGGCCGUCCGAGUUGUAAUCUAGAGAAGUGUUAUCCGCGCUGGACCGUGUACAAGUCUCCUGGAAUGGAGCGUCAUAGAGGGUGAGAAUCCCGUCUUUGACACGGACUGCCAGGGCUUUGUGAUGCGCUCUCAAAGAGUCGAGUUGUUUGGGAAUGCAGCUCAAAAUGGGUGGUAAAUUCCAUCUAAAGCUAAAUAUUGGCGAGAGACCGAUAGCGAACAAGUACCGUGAGGGAAAGAUGAAAAGAACUUUGGAAAGA
rnacentral:sRNA from 1 species